rnacentral:rRNA from 1 species
UGAUACGUAGGGUGCGAGCGUUGUCCGGAUUUAUUGGGCGUAAAGGGCUCGUAGGUGGUUGAUCGCGUCGGAAGUGUAAUCUUGGGGCUUAACCCUGAGCGUGCUUUCGAUACGGGUUGACUUGAGGAAGGUAGGGGAGAAUGGAAUUCCUGGUGGAGCGGUGGAAUGCGCAGAUAUCAGGAGGAACACCAGUGGCGAAGGCGGUUCUCUGGGCCUUUCCUGACGCUGAGGAGCGAAAGCGUGGGGAGCGAACAGGCUUAGAUACCCUGGUAGUCCACGCUGUAAACGGUGGGUACUAGGUGUGGGGUCCAUUCCACGGGUUCCGUGCCGUAGCUAACGCUUUAAGUACCCCGCCUGGGGAGUACGGCCGCAAGGCUAAA